rnacentral:tRNA from 1 species
GGAGAGGUGUCCGAGUGGUUUAAGGAGCACGCCUGGAAAGUGUGUGUACGGCUUAACCCCGUACCGAGGGUUCGAAUCCCUCUCUCUCCGCCA